rnacentral:sRNA from 1 species
UGAAACUUGACCGUGGCCUGUCUCGUGA